GGUUAAAAGCUCUUUUACGCAAAUGUAAGAAGUCCAUUGUAGUAGAGGGAGAUUAAAUAGAAAAAUAUAUUUUUUAUACUUUUCUAUCGGCAUUUUUAAUACCCUAGGCUCAAAACUUUUCAGCCGCCCCUCGUAUGCUAAAUAAAACUUCAUAUUCGUCACUCAUCGCUCAUAUAAAUAAUUACACUUGUGUUUCAACACUAAAGGAGACCAAAUAAAACGCUAUAGCAAGUUAUUUAUGAUUUACUAUUUGUGCAACAUUUUGUUUAAAAAUAUCUCUUAUAAAUUAAAAAUCUGUAUCUAUUAUAAAUUGUAAAAUGCAAUAUAUACAAUGCAGAAACUCUUGAUUCCUUACUUUCUUUGUGUGACGAAUGUUAGAAUUUUUUUUCAUAGGCCAAAAAUUUAUUAUUGUUGACAGUAUUCAUUUAAUUUAUGAGGCAAUAAAAAGGUACAUUUAAAAUGCGAUUUAUUUUCAUAUCACAACUCGCAAAACUUUAUUUACUCACUACGUUCUAAACUAAAACUACGGUAACAAUUUCUAAUUUAUAAAUUCGUAAUAUGAAAAUAGUUGCAAUAUACAACAAAAUAAUGAAUGACGCUUACUCUAUAAUACUUCUAAUAAAAUGUGUGAAACUUUGUUUCAGUGUAGUUUGUAUUAACAAAAUAAGUUAUAACAACCUACAACAGUCAAUGGUAAAGGAAAGUUCAUUCCAUAAAUUAACUCUUUUGUAAAUACAAUAUUGUACACGUGAAUAACUAGUUACAUCGGUGAAUCGUUCGAUGAUGAUAAUCACAACGGCUCAUUACAGUCUUAACAC